GAACUUUCAACAACGGAUCUCUUGGCUCUGGCAUCGAUGAAGAACGCAGCGAAAUGCGAUAAGUAAUGUGAAUUGCAGAAUCCAGUGAAUCAUCGAAUCUUUGAACGCACAUUGCGCCCGCCAGCAUUCUGGCGGGCAUGCCUGUUCGAGCGUCAUUUC
rnacentral:rRNA from 1 species